rnacentral:rRNA from 1 species
UGGGGAAUCUUGCGCAAUGGGCGAAAGCCUGACGCAGCGACGCCGCGUGAGUGAUGAAGGCCUUCGGGUUGUAAAGCUCUGUGGAGAGGGACGAAUAAGUGCUGGCUAACAUCCAGCGCGAUGACGGUACCUCUUUAGCAAGCACCGGCUAACUCUGUGCCAGCAGCCGCGGUAAGACAGAGGGUGCAAACGUUGUUCGGAAUUACUGGGCGUAAAGCGCGUGUAGGCGGCUUGGCAAGUCGGGUGUGAAAGCCCCGGGCUCAACCUGGGAAGUGCACUCGAAACUGCUUGGCUUGAGUGUCGGAGAGGGAAGCGGAAUUCUCGGUGUAGAGGUGAAAUUCGUAGAUAUCGAGAGGAACACCGGUGGCGAAGGCGGCUUCCUGGACGACGACUGACGCUGAGACGCGAAAGCGUGGGGAGCAAACAG